GACUUUAUCUGACUAGAGAUGAAGACUCCUCAUUCAUUCAUUCAUUCAUUCAUUCAUUCAUUUGCUGUAACUGCUCGUCCUCUGGGGUGUUGGGGUCUGAACCUCCUUUAUCAACCCAAGUAUUUUCAGAGUGUAACAGGUGAAUCCAGUGGUUUUAGCUUCUAUACGUUUCGGUUUAGGUUUCCCCUCUCCAUGUCCUUCACCAAGACACUGUAACCAAGACCACCAACGUGUCCUUUUUAUCCAUUUUUAUUUAAUAGUUUUUGGCCUUUCUCUCUCUUAUCUUUUAAUUAUUUAUCCCUCUAAUCUUCUCACUCAGUUCUUGUUUUUCUUCAGUGUUUAUUUGUUUUUAAUUGUGCCUCCAUCUUUUUUAAUGUAAAUCACAGUGACUUGUCCUCUGUAUGAAAUGAGCUGUUUAAAUAAAGCUGCCUUGAACUGUC